rnacentral:rRNA from 1 species
UACCCGCAGCACAAGUGGUGGUCAUUAUUAUUGGGCCUAAAGCGUCCGUAGCUGGCUUGUUAGAUGCCUGGGUAAAUCGAUGCGCUCAACGCAUCGAACUCCGGGUAGACCGGCAAGCUUGGGACCGGGAGAGGCGUGAGCUACUCGAGGGGUAGGGGUAAAAUCCUGUAAUACUUCGGGGAGGACCAGUGGCGAAGGCGUCACGCUAGAACGGCUCCGACAGUGAGGGACGAAGCCCUGGGGCGCAAACCGG